UACGUACUGUGCGAACGUUAUUCGGAAUCACUGGGCUUAAAGGGUGUGUAGGCGGCCAGCUAAGUAGGGUGUGAAAGGCCUCGGCUCAACCGAGGCACUGCGCUCUAAACUGACUGGCUUGAGUGAGAUAGGGGUGUGCGGAACUUCCAGUGGAGCGGUGAAAUGUGUUGAUAUUGGAAGGAACGCCGGUGGCGAAAGCGGCACACUGGGUCUUAACUGACGCUGAGACACGAAAGCCAGGGGAGCGAACGGG
rnacentral:rRNA from 1 species